AGCGCAGCCAACAUUCGGAUUUGACACCAGGCCCUCGGCCAAUCCGAGAGGGCUUUUCACCUGCCAUCGCUUCCUCCGCCAAUCAGACGGCGUGUUUGGGCCGAGAGCCCUCCCCGGCCAAUCGGGAGCCGGCUGAGCCACUUAGUUAAUGAUGCAGCAGUACAGGGAAGACUAUCACAUGUGAGCUGGAAGGCUGCCAACAUGGAGACACGGAGAGAGCAAGGUAAACAACUUUCCAACGCCAAAAUGAUGACAUUUAAUCCCUAAAUGCUAGCUUCCCGUCUCGACUCAUCCUUAACCCCUUUCAGCUGGUGUGGAAGCGUCUGGAAGGCACCGUGUACCUGUCCCCAGUGCUUUUAAAAACUGGCCGACGUGCCCUGCAAUGAUCACUGCGUCACCGUUUGCCACUUUCCGAACUACGCAGUGGCAAAGCCCCGAGCCCAGCUCACAGGGUGGCUGUUAACCCCUGCACCCAGCCCUGCCUCCACGCCAGCCCUCGGGGGGACGGCAGGGAAUAAAAAGCCCGAGCAAAACACGAAAACAGCAGUCUGCAAAGUUGUCAUCUCUCCCCCACGACUACUGCCCUCCUCUGCAUUACAGCAAUGCCGGCAAGAGUGGCAUUCGUACAACCUGUACCGACGUUCCAUUGAGAAAACAGCUCUGACGCAGAGCAGAGCAAUCAUACCCAGCCGAAAUAAUAAUGAAGGCACUUGGGGAGCUGAACUUAGGGACGAUGGGGGAAGGGGACGCCCUGCAAAGCAUUACAAAACGUAGAUGCAGCUCCAGCCCCAUCCUGAUCAAAGGGUACGUACGUGGGAAAGACGAACCGGACCGAGGAGCUCUGCCCGUGCACCAGCUGCGCAGCGUUCAGCCCUCUGCUUGCUGUGUAGCGCCGCAGAAUAGAAGGUUCCAGAAUUUUCCUUUCCGUUAACCCUUUCGGUGUCUGCCCACUCUCCCUCCCCGCGGGAUUAAGCGCGCCGGGUCUCCAGCAUCGUCAACGGGCGAAGCCUCCUACGCCAACCGAGCCCAGAUACGUUCUCUAAAUGACACUGUCUGGUGUCAGGAGCUCCGUCCCUGGUGUUGCGUCUGAAGAGCCUGAGCUAUUUUGGGAUUUGUCUGUACUACACUGAAAAUGACACCUGUUACACACAGGCAUAAAUGAGAAGAAUUGCAAGCUCCUGGUUUCUCAGAUACAGUUCUGCCACGGAAAGAAGAUAGGAGCUGGGGGUGUGGGAGGGCAGCCCUGGCUCUCAGCAUGGGGUGAAGAGCUGACCCUUGUGUAGUCAGACAGCAGUACAGGGAGCGCACGAGGCUUGUUGCAUCUGAUGCAGACCUCCCUGUGACCAAGAGCAGUAGUGCUUGAUCAUCGAAACGCUGCAAGAUGGGGUUUCAUACAUGACCAAACCCAUGGGACUUCAAGCCUUACAGAUCUGCUUUGUGGCCAAAGCUGCAAGCGUUAACUGUUUCAGUUAAUUGUAAGAGUGCUUCGGCUACUUAAAUGAGUCACUCAGCAGUGAUGCUCUGAAGUAGGCCAGCGUUUUUUGCAAGGUUACGCAGUUGGUUUCCGUUACCCCUGAGUUAUCUCAGAAGCUCAACCAACACACAGAGGCAGAGCGGAUUUCCGUGUUCCCCAUUGCUGUGUCUGCCUGCAGCCGAUCUGCAGCGCCCCAGGGAGGUGUCAGCAGCAUGCAGACCACACCGCAGCCCCCAGGCACUGAGCAUGGCAGUGGGAUGGACAGAGCCUGAGAAGUGGGAUGGCUGAUGGGCAUGCUUGGCUCCCAGCAAUGCUCGUGUAUUAAGUAAAACAGAGCUUUGGCUUAGUUCAAAUGGUAUGCUUUUGGUUGCUUUCAAGGGAAGAGCAGUGUUUAUUUAAUGGGUUGCUUUUGUUUGAAAAUGACCAGCCGUGGGACAUUUCUGUCUUUACCUGAUCAUAAAGCAUUUACUCUGUGGAGGCACUUCAGCUCCCAAGGAGGAUCAAAGCCACUGUGCCCUGUGAAGCGCUCAGGUUUAUUGCUAUCCGGAUGAUUUUCAUUAGUGCAUGUCAGAGGAAUGGCUUCUGGAGUGUUUGCAGUGAUUCCUGGCUGUGAUGAGCUCAACCACCAUCGCUGUGACACACGUCUUUGCCAGCCCAGCGUGUGCUCACUGCGGUCCCAUCCAACCACAGAGCAGGUUUCCUGUUUCACAUGGGGACACCAAGGCUGUGAAUGGACGGAGGGUCGCUGCGCUCAGCCCCCAGCCCUGGAAGGCAUCUGAGAGCCCAGCUGACCAGCAGACCUCACCGAGGUGAGACCUCCCCCUUCCUGCCCGUGCUCUGCAGGAAUAACCCUGCACUGUCACUGUCCGGGCUGUUGUUGCAUUCCUGCUGGCUUUGCUGCAUGCAAGUCUUGUCUGAGUUUUGUACCUUCCUGUUGUCCUUGAAAUUGGGAUUGUAAAUUAUUUUGGCCAGCAGUAAACUGUCUUUGCUUGUCCAGCACUGAGCUGCUCUGGCCUCUCAGUUAAGGAUUCUCGCCACUUCUAAAAAUAAGUAAUUAUGAGAUAUUAUCUCCUUAAAAUACUUGUUAAAAAGCGGAGGCAAGAAGACGCUCCUUUCCCAUCCAUUUUCUCCUCAAACUACCAAUUUAUUUUUUUUAAUUUGCUUUAAAUGGUGCUCUUUCGAUCUGUUCUCUUCUGCAGCCAUUCAUACAGCAGGAGAGCACAACAGCCUCAAGGUUAGGAUGCGUACUUUCCACUCACACAACCAGAAUCAUUGGAAGGCCACAAGGAAGUUCUAAAAUCCAAGCUACCAUUAAGAAAACAGAAAUUAAGCUCAAAAAUAUUUUUAUGGAAGAGCCCUGGUUACUUUUCCCAGCCGGGAACUAUUUUGCAAACAAACCUUGAUUAGAAGUGGAACUUUUCUAUAUUGUUUUACUCCUAGGAUAACACAGAUAUUUUCAUUUUUCAAUAUGUUUUUGGUUUCCUUAUUUGACCAAUUCUGAUUGGUCGUCUUAACCCAACUGUAGAUUGAUUUCCCUUUCCAGAAUGGGAGACCUUUGUUUUCAACGAUUCCUUCGGAUAAUCCGCAAAGUAGAAAACAAAACAUUAAACAUUACAAAACAAACCAGAUGAAAAUACUUUCAGCUUUGCUCAUGUUCCUGCCAACUAUUUUCCUUUAAAAAAACAAAACAACACCAACCAGCCCCUUCUGUAUCGUUUUACUCCUUUAAAGGGGAAGGCAUGGCUGAGGAUGAGCUCUGCAGUGGCCAAGGUCUGAGUUUAAGCCUCCAAUCCAGCAUCUAGUGCUAUUCCUGCCCAAAGGACAAGGCAAUAAGGGUAUAUUCUAGCAAAGGUAUGCAUUUUUAAGGCUUCCUUGAACGAGUAUUUUGAAUAGCAAACCAAAGAUCAGCCGUAUUAUUAAGGGAUUCAUAGAAUUCACCCAAUUUAUUUGCCCAAACCACCGCUUUUUUUCCCCCUUAUUGUCAUUUUGGGCUUCUUACAGCCAGCCCAGGAAAAGGAGGCAUUUAACACAUCAAAAAGCUGAGAGUGGUAUUUCCAGCAGGCCUCUGCCUCCUCAUUUAUACCUGUGAGCGUGCAGUUCUGUACAGUUCUCUCUUUGGAAGGCAGCACUGCCUCAGUGCACUGUAAUGUGCCGAAAACAGCCUGGCAGAACCUCUCCUUCUGAGGCCUUUGUGCUGCCAUCCACUGCUGCGUUCUCUGAGCAGGUUGCUGUGAAAGAUAAAUAGCAGAGUCCCAAAGUGAUUUAAUGGAGUUUCCAAAACCUUCUGUCAGUAGAAGCACUGCUUGGCAGAGGAACUUAGAGUUUUCUUUCAACUUUAACUCACUCCAGGCUUCUCUUACCCCUUCAUUUGACAGGUUUUUUCCCAGACUGGAAGGUUUCCACCAAGUCAUGAAGAUGGUUGUGUUUGGGAUGGUCCGGUGGAUCCUGUGCCUCGUGUCAGCUCUGUCGUUUGGGGAAGCCCCUACAGGUGAAUCUGUGGCAAGGUAGAAGGUCCAUGGUUCUCAUAAGGAAGUGAAGGAGUUGCAAAAUGGGAGCUUCUGCAGAAAAGUGUCUUCUGGCACUAGCUGUGCCCCAUUCCUACCAUCAAUAAGCCUUGGGUGAAAAGAGGGAGGUGCUCCAGGGGGACUUGGGAAAGCAGAGUGGAUGUGACAGUGAAAAAUAAGGCUAUUGGAGGCACACAGCCAUGAGCCAGGAAUGGCUGAGCCCUGAGUCCCACAGGGACUCCCUCCAUAGGUCCGCCUAGAGGAGCACCAGGCUCCCACGGGUUCACUUUCAGCUGCUGAGAGCCAUUCUAUCCUUAGCACUGCCCUCCGCAGAGCUGCCACGAAUGUGUUCUGCACUGUGAGUCCAGAGAUCCACAGCUGCAGCUCUGGAGUGGGAGCUUUCCUUGGCAGCUCUGGGUGAGACGUGGGCAAGGGCACCAGCGGAAGGAGCCCCACUAUGCCCUGACCCGUGUGAGCACACGUCUGUUUCUGCGCAGCCUCCCUCGCAGACCCGCCGAAAUCUGGGUUAUAUAAUGCCACUGCUGCCUCGAAACAGGGAGGUUAAAAUGAGGUCGUCCAAGAUGGGAGCUGCCUGCAGCCGCCUCGGGAGGACGAUCCGCUGCCUGCGCCGAGCCCUGCACGCAGAGGAGCACUGCAACAUAAACAUACAGAAACAUAGGUCAGGAUGCUGGAAGUCUCCGGAGCGCUCACGGUGUGGAAUCAGGCCCAUUUCUUUAUUUGCAUCUCCCUGUUUACGUGACGAACUGUGCUGAGCAGGCAGCGUGACGGGCUGCGGUCACAGGGCACUGCAGAGCUGCGGGGUGCCAGAUCCACACAGCACAGAGCUCUGUGCCACAGCCAGCCCCAGGUGUUACCCUUUUUAAGCAUGUUUUAAGAGUGCAAGGUCUACAUUAUUCCUUCCAUCAUUGCUUUAUUUGCAGUAUGCUGUGGAAAGGCCAUCGCUCCAAGGGGAUCCACGUAAGAAAGUAUACAACUGUAAUAGAAAAAGCAAGAAUUCUGUUGCAUUAAAGCAGAUAUUCUUUUUCCAGAAUACUAAUGCAAUUCCUCCAGAACAAAGAGUGGAAGCUUCCUCCUGUAAAUGCAUUUCACAGAGACCACAAGGUGGGAAACAUGGGGCUGUUUGAGGGGAGCUGCUUGGGAUGAGCACAUCAAUGAGUUCAGCACCGGGCAUUGGGUGAUUCCAUGACUGGAGGGCCACUAAAACCAACAUGCUGCUGCAAACAAAGAGACAAAAGUCACAUUACCAGGAGCACAUGAGUUUGAGGAAGACCUACUCCCUCCUAACAGCAUGUGAAAACACCUGAUUUCCCAUUGUCAUGGUAAGCCUUUCCUUCAAAGCACUCCUAAUUUGUUUCCUGAUCCUCCAGCUUCUUGGCUGGUGCCAGAACAGAGCAGUGAGGGCUGGAGAGUUGUUGGCAGGACGGCAGCUGGGGAACAGUCUUUGUCUUUGACAGCAAGUGAUGGACAGUGCUUCUGUCCCACUGGGGGGAAUUUCUGCAUCACCAUCACUAAACUGGAUACAUGUGGGAUGAUUGCUGACCACAGAAAGAAGCCGAAGAUGAACCACCUACCUGCUGAAGGCAGAGGAUCAGCGCUGCUCCAGCCUUGCUCCUUGUUGGUACACAAGUUAGGCAAGUUACUUCGGGUAGAGAUCCCAGUGGGGGAUGGAGCCCUGUGUUAUCCUCCAAAGGGUCCCAGUUUGUGCAGGCAAUAUAACUGCACAUCAGUCUUUGCUGCUCCACAGCAGCACUCCCUUCAGGUUACUUCUCUGCUGAUUUUCAGAGGGAGCAGUUGGGCUGAGAACCCAGAGGGGCAGCCUGGGCAAUGCAGUGUUGCAAACCCUGCCCCAUCCUGGCAGAGCAAUGCUAAGGCAGGGAGUUACCCCGAGUAAAACCCUUGCUCAGAUGGACCAUGAACGCAGCCACAGGAUAAGGUAGCAAGCCAUAACGUAGGUAAGAAGCAUUUUGCAAAGGGGCAGUGCGUAAAAACAAGCCUGAGCAAAAGGAAAGUUAAGCCUCUUAAAUAUUAAAGUUCCAAAAUUAAACCCUUGUUUAUAUAACAGUUGGGUCACUGCUGCAGAACACGGGAGUUCACAGCAUUGCACCAAAAAAGGCUCUCGUGGAGCCAACAGCUGCUCCCCGGGGGCUCAGAGCAGGUGGGGAGCAGAGCUGCAGCCAGGAGGAUGCUCGUAGGGUUUGGCUGCCCUGACACGAAGUCUGCAGUCACCCCAUAAAGCAGUGCAACCCUUCGGGAUGUGCCUUGGAAGUUGGUGGAGGGGGAUGUCCGGCCCAUUCCUGCCUGCCCCCCUGCUUCGGUUUGGCUCAUCGCAGGUGAUAGCACAGCAACACAAGGCAAAUGCAUGCACAAAACAUAGAGAAUAACUUCAUGAAGUUUCUCUGCUGCUCAGUUAUCUUCAAAAAGCCAUCUAGAAAGGCCCGCAGAUACACCCCUACUUAUUAUUUUGUAAGAAAAGAGCACAAAAGAACUUAAUCCAAAGUAAAUAUUUAACCAAACAGCAAUUAACUAACAAUGAUGGAUUGUAAACAGCGCUGCUCCGAGGCUGAGCUGCAGCUCUCCUCUGUUUCUCUGGGCUACGGCUGCCCUAAGGGGGAAGGCAAGUUUACCGAGUCAGAUUUGUCUCUGCCACCUCGCUAUUAAAAGGCUCUACAAACAGAAACGGCAUCGGAUGAUCUGAGAGCGAGGAAAACAAUAAAGAACACAGCAAUGCAGGGCACGGGACUUGUAAGGCUUUAUGGAGCGACAACUGUCCUUGGGAAGGAGGGCUGAGCAAACACGAAGCUGUAAAGGAACUGCUUCCCAUCUGGGCAGCUUGUGUGAUACAUCCCAUGGGGCAGCAGUCCCACUUACCCACGAGGAAGUAGUGAUAAUAACAAUAAUAAUAAUAAUGUAUUUUAAUAUUUUAAUACUUAAUACUUAUUAAAUUAUUAUUAUGUCCCAUUUGUUAUUGUUAUGCUCCAUUAUCAUUAUGUUCCCUUCGGGAAGAUGUCCCCCCCACAGAUCACUACUUCCAUAAUAAUAAUAAUAAUAAUAAUACCACCACCACAAAUUCUAGUAAGUAUUAUCUCUUAUUUCCCACCCCCAGGUGCCUCCGGCAGCUGCAGCAGCCCGGCCAGGCUCUGUCCGUGCCCCCACCUGCACCAUGGCCCAGGGAAAGGGGUGGUUAUGGGGCGGGGUGGUGCACGGGGGACGCUCC
ensembl:lncRNA